GUAGGGUGCAAGCGUUAAUCGGAAUUACUGGGCGUAAAGCGUGCGCAGGCGGUUCGGAAAGAAAGAUGUGAAAUCCCAGAGCUUAACUUUGGAACUGCAUUUUUAACUGCCGAGCUAGAGUAUGUCAGAGGGGGGUAGAAUUCCACGUGUAGCAGUGAAAUGCGUAGAGAUGUGGAGGAAUACCGAUGGCGAAGGCAGCCCCCUGGGAUAAUACUGACGCUCAUGCACGAAAGCGUGGGGAGCAAACAGGAUUAGAUACCCUGGUAGUCCACGCCCUAAACGAUGUCAACUAGCUGUUGGGGCCUUCGGGCCUUAGUAGCGCASSUAACGCGUGAAGUUGACCGCCUGGGGAGUACGGUCGCAAGAUUA
rnacentral:rRNA from 1 species